AUUGAACGCUGGCGGCAUGCCUUACACAUGCAAGUCGAACGGUAACGGGCCUUCGGGUGCCGACGAGUGGCGAACGGGUGAGUAAUACAUCGGAACGUGCCCGAUCGUGGGGGAUAACGAGGCGAAAGCUUUACUAAUACCGCAUACGAUCUACGGAUGAAAGCAGGGGACCGCAAGGCCUUGCGCGGACGGAGCGGCCGAUGGCAGAGUCGGUAGUUGGUGGGAUAAUAGCUUACCAAGCCGACGAUCUGUAGCUGGUCUGAGAGGAUGAUCAGCCACACUAGGACUGAGACACGGCCCAGACUACUACGGGAGGCAGCAGUGGGGAAUGUUGGACAAUGGGCGCAAGCCUGAUCCAGCCAUGCCGCGUGCAGGAUGAAGGCCUUCGGGUUGUAAACUGCUUUUGUACGGAACGAAAAGCCUUCUUUUAAUACAGGAGGGUAAUGACGGUACCGUAAGAAUAAGCACCGGCUAACUACGUG
rnacentral:rRNA from 1 species